CCUCGCACUUAUGCGUGAAGAAAAAUUGAACCUCGCGCAUAACAGAAUUAAAAAUGAAUUCUCAAACUAAUCUCAUGAUCGAGCCGAUCAGCCAACGAUUCGCAUAAUCGCGACUGUACACGUCGGAACUGCAGUCACUA